rnacentral:rRNA from 1 species
AUUGAACGCUGGCGGCAGGCCUAACACAUGCAAGUCGAGCGGAUGAAGGGAGCUUGCUCCUGGAUUCAGCGGCGGACGGGUGAGUAAUGCCUAGGAAUCUGCCUGGUAGUGGGGGAUAACGUCCGGAAACGGGCGCUAAUACCGCAUACGUCCUGAGGGAGAAAGUGGGGGAUCUUCGGACCUCACGCUAUCAGAUGAGCCUAGGUCGGAUUAGCUAGUUGGUGGGGUAAAGGCCUACCAAGGCGACGAUCCGUAACUGGUCUGAGAGGAUGAUCAGUCACACUGGAACUGAGACGCGGUCCAGACUCCUACGGGAGGCAGCAGUGGGGAUUAUUGGACAAUGGGCGAAAGCCUGAUCCAGCCAUGCCGCGUGUGUGAAGAAGGUCUUCGGAUUGUAAAGCACUUUAAGUUGGGAGGAAGGACAGUAAGUUAAUACCUUGCUGUUUUGACGUUACCAACAGAAUAAGCACCGGCUAACUUCGUG